rnacentral:rRNA from 1 species
UACGUAGGUGGCAAGCGUUGUCCGGAUUUAUUGGGCGUAAAGCGCGCGCAGGCGGCUAUGUAAGUCUGGUGUUAAAGCCCGGGGCUCAACCCCGGUUCGCAUCGGAAACUGUGUAGCUUGAGUGCAGAAGAGGAAAGCGGUAUUCCACGUGUAGCGGUGAAAUGCGUAGAGAUGUGGAGGAACACCAGUGGCGAAGGCGGCUUUCUGGUCUGUAACUGACGCUGAGGCGCGAAAGCGUGGGGAGC